AUGGAGGGGGAGCUCACGAAGAAGAUGGAGAGGAAACUCAGGAAGAAGCAGAAGAAUCUAUUGAAGAAGAUGGGGAAAGAGAAGCCCCAAUCCCUGGUAAAGGAAAUCAUCUCCGUGGAGAGGGAGCGCAGAGACUUACAUGCCUCACUUACUCCCACGUUCUCUGUCUGGAAAGAAAUCGAUUCUCAAACAACGUGGACAAUCGCCACAAAGGAGCCUGCUACUGCUACUACCAGGGACGAUGAGAAUCAACUCGCAGACUACUUCAACCUGAUGCUCCAAGAUAUGGAGGACCUGGGCCAUCGGAUGCUUUCUAUGCUAUAUUUUCUCAACAAAUCCAAUGACCCCAUCUGCUCCUACAAGGCCACCGAGCUGUGCAAUAUAGCAGCCAAAUUAAAUAUGCAGAUAUCCAAGGGAUUCAGCAUGAACCAUGAGCUGGAGCAGGAGCCGGAGCCGGAGCCGGGGCAAAUCAACUUGUUGACUCUUUUCAGCAAAUAUUGUCGAUUUCCCAAUAAUUACGAGAACACCUUGGCCAAGUUAGACAUGAGGGAGGAGGAGACCAAGUGUGAGGAUGUUAAGGUGAAGAAGACCAAGGAAGAGGAGGACAAGGAGAAUGACCCAUCCACAAUCGAGUAUUUCAAGAAAAGUCUGGAGCUUGAUCAAUACUUUUUCGCCGCGGAUCGAAGAUACUGGGAAAAUGGGUGGGCCAGCAAGUUUGGACGGUACGGUGGAUUCUCAAAUACAACCAUCCUGAGCCCUAUGCAGUUUACGCACUAUACACCUGAUAUCAUCCCUUCCUCAGCUGCUGUCACCGGUAGUACUUUGCAAAUCUACUCAAUCAAGAUAAAGAAUCUAAAAGACUUGAACUGGCCCCUCAAAGUCUACGGCAAGAUUGCUGCUCGAGACACUGUGGACCGCAACCGCAACAUUCUAUUCUCUCGGUCAAAGUGUGAUUACCAAGAACUUAAUGGACAAGAUGAUUCCUUAUGCUUGACUGGUCCGUCUCGUGCGAUUGUUGCUUUGGGCCAUGUAGACUUUGAAGUUGAACUCAAAGUAAUCGAGGGAGCGGUGUCGCAAAGUUUGAUCAUUUGUAGAGGCCGUUACGGCGGUGCAGAUGAUUGUUCCUCUUCUUCGGCCAGCCUGACUUAUGGUGGUGAUGGACCAACCUUCUUGCUCUCCAACCAUCGCUGUAGAACCGAGGUAACACUUGAGCAGCUUGAUAGAUCGCACCAGGCUACUAUUGUGGGUGUACGAGUAACCAAAGGGGCUUGGCCUUUCAAAUAUGGAUGCCGGGUUAUUUGCUUUUGGGCUCCUGCUUCUACGGCAGAUGUCAUUGAUACCACUUGCAGGCCAGUUGUGCUGCUUGACCGCCGUGGUAAAGGAUUACAUAGAGGAUCAGAGAACUACCUUCAACUAUCAAGGAAAGUGGUAUCAGUGCAAUCACAAGGAACACUGAGAGUGGCCAUAGAAGGCUAUGGGAAGUCCCGUCGCUUGAUUGCUCGAAAGGGCCACAUCGACUUUCCUGUUCAGCAGUGCCAAACAAGCAAGCGUGCUUGUUUAGUUGGUGACACCACAGUGGAGGUGGUUGUAGCCUGGUCGUUGCUUGUCAAGGAAAAGGUGGAUCUCCAGGUCUUGCUUAGUUGA
rnacentral:rRNA from 1 species